rnacentral:rRNA from 1 species
UACGGGAAGGCAGCAGUGGGGAAUAUUGGACAAUGGGCGAAAGCCUGAUCCAGCCAUGCCGCAUGAGUGAAGAAGGCCUUCGGGUUGUAAAGCUCUUUUAGUGAGAAAGAUAAUGACGGUACUCACAGAAGAAGUCCUGGCUAACUCCGUGCCAGCAGCCGCGGUAAUACGGAGAGGGCUAGCGUUAUUCGGAAUUAUUGGGCGUAAAGAGCGCGUAGGCUGAUUAGUAAGUUAAAAGUGAAAUCCCAAAGCUUAACUUUGGAAUUGCUUUUUAAAACUGCUAGUCUAGAGAUUGAAAGAGGAUAGAGGAAUUCCUAGUGUAGAGGUGAAAUUCGUAAAUAUUAGGAGGAACACCAGUGGCGAAGGCGUCUAUCUGGUUCAAAUCUGACGCUGAGGCGCGAAGGGCGUGGGGAGCAAACAGGGAUUAGAUACC